rnacentral:rRNA from 1 species
GGGGGGGGGGGGGGGGGGGGUGGGGGCGUGGGGGUCGGGGGGGAAGUGGGGGUUCGGGGGGCGGGCGGGGGGGGAACGCGGAAGAACGUGCCCUUGGGAGGGGGACAACGGCUGGGAGAGGCGGCGAAGACCCCGGAGGCUGAGGAGCAACAGGCGGAAUCCGCGCGGGUGGGGGCUGGCGUCUGUUUAGCGAGUUUGGGAGGCAAUAGCUUACCUAGGCGAUGAUCAGUAGCUGGGCCGAGAGGAUGAUCAGCCACCCUGGGACUGAGACACGGCCCAGACUCCGCCGGGAGGCAGCAGUGGGGAAUUUUCAGCAAUGGGCGAAAGCAUGAAGGAGCAAGGCCGCGUGGAGGUAGAAGGCCCACGGGUCGUGAACUGCUUUUCCCGGAGAAGAAGCAAUGACGGUAUCUGGGGAAUAAGCAUCGGUUAACUCUGUG